CUCUCAGAGGCGUGUGCGGCCAGGACCCGGCCCGCGCAUGCGUCCUUCCUCCGCCUGCAACCCGAAGCGCAGCGGCCGGGAAUGUGCGCGCUUGCGUUUCUUACCUAGGUCUCCCAAGACUUGAAGGAAAACAUCAGUACAGAGAACUCAUGCUUGCUUUUCUGAACUUGUGAUUUUUUUCCUGAAAGGAAUUAUAAUCUCUGCUUAAAGGAAAAAAUAUGGUAACCCUUGAAUCCUUCUGGACUAGAGGCUGGGUAAG